rnacentral:rRNA from 1 species
GACGAACGCUGGCGGCGCGCUUAACACAUGCAAGUCGAACGGAAAGGCCUGCUUUCCCUUGUGGAUUGCGGGUACUCGAGUGGCGAACGGGUGAGUAACACGUGAGUGAUCUGCCCCCAACUUGGGUAUAAGCCUGGGAAACUGGGUCUAAUUCCCGAUAGGACUGCAGGGUGGUGCCUGUGGUGGAAAACGAUUUUCUAGUGGUUGGGGAUGAGCUCGCGGCCUAUCAGCUUGUUGGUGGGGUAAUGGCCUACCAAGGCGGCGACGGGUAGCCGGCCUGGGAGGGUGGACGGCCACAUUGGGACUGAGAUCCGGCCCAGACUCCUACGGGAGGCAGCAGUGGGGAAUAUUGCACAAUGGGCGGAAGCCUGAUGCAGCGACGCCGCGUGGGGGAUGACGGCCUUCGGGUUGUAAACUCCUUUCGACCGCGAGGAAGCCACCUGGUUGGAAGGGUGGUGACGGUAGUGGUAGAAGAAGCACCGGCUAACUACGUG